UACGUAGGGUGCGAGCGUUGUCCGGAAUUAUUGGGCGUAAAGAGCUCGUAGGCGGUCUGUCGCGUCUGCUGUGAAAACCCGGGGCUCAACCCCGGGCCUGCAUUCGAUACGGGCAGACUAGAGUUCGGUAGGGGAGUCUGGAAUUCCUGGUGUAGCGGUGAAAUGCGCAGAUAUCAGGAGGAACACCGGUGGCGAAGGCGGGACUCUGGGCCGAUACUGACGCUGAGGAGCGAAAGCGUGGGGAGCAAACAGG
rnacentral:rRNA from 1 species